UCUCUGAUUGAAACCCGGUUCACUUCCACCCAACCCCAGCCGGCUCGAAAGAUCGGGCCAUCUUCCUCCUCGCUUCACUGCACACGGACGGCGGAGAAACAGCGAUGCGUUCCAGAUACUCCGCCGGCACUUUUAGGCUUAGAAUUCUUGUCAAUACCCCAUUUUUGCGGCCCAACCAAGUCCCCUACCGCCCCCUCUCCUCUCUUCUUGGACCCAAUCGCCCCCCCUCUUCCUACUUCCCGGCGAUCUCGUCGCUGGAAUCCGUCUCCAUGGCGAGGAUCGUCGGCCGAGCUCUCCCUCUCCCCACCAGAUCCCCCGUCCGUCCCCCUCAUUCUCCUGCCCCGAUCGCCGCCGCUCUCCAGUGGUGGCCGCGGGGUGUUCCGACGGCCUCGUCUCAUCUCUCUAAUUCGGUUCUUUGCUCGCCUUUCUAUUCCGAUUCUCAGAGAAGGGGAUUUCAUGUCUCGUCUAGGUAUUCGCGAUCACCGGCGCUCUUCGGGGGAUUCUUCGGGUCGCUGAGGGGAUUUCGGAAGACGAGGCGGAGGCUGGCGGCCAAGAAGCAGGCGCUCAAGGAGAAGCAGCUAGAACUCGACGUCAAGAUCAGCAUCGAAGAUGAACUGCCUAACGAUCCCGAAGUUUUGAGCAUUGCAGAAAUGCUAAAAUUGAAUAUUCCCAUGGCAAUGAAAAUUGCAUUUGAUGGUCUCAAGGAUUCAGAGUAUAAAACCAGAGAGUCUUCUAUAGAUGAUGUUGGUAAAUUCGAAAAAGUUGAGCUGUCUGUGCUAUUUUGCAAUGAUGAUUUCAUUCGAAAGCUCAAUAAAGAUUGGAGAGGCGAGGACUGUGCUACUGAUGUUCUAUCCAUGUCACAGCAUAUGCCUGAACUUGAUCUUCCUAUUCUCAUGCUGGGUGAUAUAGUAAUUUCUGUUGAGACAGCUGCUAGGCAAGCAGGGGAGAGAGGCCAUACACUUCUUGAUGAAAUACGAAUCCUCAUGGUUCAUGGUUUGUUGCACCUUCUGGGCUUUGAUCAUGAGAUUAAUGGUGAGGCUGAAGCAGAGAUGCAGAAGGAAGAGGAACUAGUUUUGAAGAGUCUUGGAUGGAAAGGAAAAGGUUUAGUUAAGAGUGCAUAUGAUGCUGUAAUUGAUGGCAUCCUUCAUGCAGAAAGUUCAGAUGGAGAAGUUAUGAAAGGUCUGAAGAAAGCAGGCAGCUUGCGGUUUUAUAGACCAAAAUUUAGCUACAUUUUUUGUGAUAUGGAUGGUACACUUUUGAACAGUAGAAGUCAAAUUACUCCAAUGACAGCAGAAGCUAUCAGAAAAGCAAUAUCAAGAGGAGUGAACAUAGUCAUUGCUACUGGAAAGACUCGUCCAGCUGCUAUAACUGCUUUGAAGAUGGUUGGUUUGGCUGGAAAACAUGGUGUUGUUUCAGAAUUUUUGCCAGGGAUAUUUCUUCAGGGAUUGCUCGUUUAUGGGAGGCAAGGUAGAGAAAUAUGUAGAAGGAACUUAGAUCAAAAUGUUUGUAGAGAGGCAUGUUUAUUUUCUUUGAAACAUGAGGUUCCUCUGAUAGCAUUUUGCCAAGACCGAUGUUUCACAUUGUUUGAACAUCCUUUGGUUGAUUCCCUGCAUACAAUAUAUCAUGAGCCAAAGGUACUCAGAUGCAGAGGUCAUGCCUUCAGUUGAGCACCUCCUAGCAGCUGCUGAAGUACAGAAAUUAAUUUUUCUCGACACUGCUGAAGGGGUUUCUUCUACUUUGCGGCCACAUUGGACAAAAGCAACCAAAGGCCGAGCAGGUAUUGUCCAGGCAAUGCCAGAUAUGCUUGAAAUUGUACCACAUGGGACGUCAAAAGGCAAUGGGGUGAAAAUGCUGCUAGAUCACCUGGGUGUCACGGCAAAAGAGGUCAUGGCUAUUGGUGAUGGCGAAAAUGAUGUUGAGAUGCUUCAAAUAGCAUCGCUGGGGGUUGCGCUUGCCAAUGGGUCGGAGAAGGCUAAAGCUGUAGCCAACGUGAUUGGAGCCACAAAUGAUGAAGAUGGUGCAGCAAAGGCUAUAUACCAGUACGCUUUCUAACAUGCAAUUUGAGGACAAGAUACAGGACAGCAGUCUGAUUUGAUUUUUUCAAUGAUACGUAGGAUUCAACCAAUGAUAGAUUUUUAUUUUUUUUAUAUUUUGUGCAAUGAUUAUUGCAAGCAGAUUGAGCCAAACAAAAGGCCUUUUCAUUGUCUGGGCUAUGAUGACCAUAGCUUUUUGAAGUUAGGACUGUUGUUUUGAGCUGGAGAUGCCAGAUCACCCUUUGUGUUCCAGGUUUUUAUUAUUCUGCUUCUCCAUAAUUGAAGGGCUUUAUUGUUGUUGCCAAACAUGUAUCACAUACGAAAAUGGAGGAAAAAAUUCCAUAUAUUUGACUUUGAA